GUUGUGCUAUAAAAAGCUUUUGUUAUGAAUUAUGGUUCGGAAGGUGUACACAAAAAAAUGGUGUCGCCCACUCCCAAGACAAGGUCAAAUAAUGUCAUUGCGCCGUGCCAGUGUUUGAGGGUAGGCCGCAAGACCGCUCUUAACAGUUGAGCAUCAAUUUGUCGUGCGACUCAUGGGUUCUGGUGGUCUUCGAACUGAAAACGUUCAUUAGCAUUUUAAAUUGCUUCAAACCUUGUUUAUCUGACUCUUCUACAACUUGGCGUGUGUGAGUUAUUUGCAAGCAGCAACACUGAAUACAGAUGAGCGAUCAAUUGAUAUAAACCCAUUCAAGCUCCGCACCACUUCCGUCUUGGGCGAAGCCGUCCGUGACAGUCUGCAAAUCAAACUAAACCUUUGCGAAUUUGAGUUAACAUAUUGCCACGCAAGUGCUUUAUGAUGUGGCUGGUUCUUCUGGUUCCGUUGUGUGCGAUCCCAUUCGUUGCAAGUUUCUUCUUUACCAUCAUCCGACUAAUGUGUAAGGAUACUUCACUUGAAUUAUUUGUAAAACUGUUGUUGCAUGUCAUGUAUAUACCAUCAAAAAUUGGUGAAUAUGCAGCUCGCCGGGUGGUGGCU